GAUGAACGUUGGCGGCGUGCCUAAUACAUGCAAGUCGAGCGAACGGACGAGAAGCUUGCUUUUCUGAUGUUAGCGGCGGACGGGUGAGUAACACGUGGAUAACCUACCUAUAAGACUGGGAUAACUUCGGGAAACCGGAGCUAAUACCGGAUAAUAUUUUGAACCGCAUGGUUCAAAAGUGAAAGACGGUCUUGCUGUCACUUAUAGAUGGAUCCGCGCUGCAUUAGCUAGUUGGUAAGGUAACGGCUUACCAAGGCAACGAUGCAUAGCCGACCUGAGAGUGUGAGCGGCGACGCUGGCACUGAGACACGGUCCAGACUCCUACGGGAGGCAGCAGUAGGGAAGCUUCCGCAAAGGGCGAAAGCCUGACGGAGCAACGCCGCGGGAGUGAUGAAGGUCUUCGGAUCGUAGAACUCUGUUAUUAGGGAAGAACAGAUGUGUAAGUAACUGUGCGCAUCUUGACGGUACCUAAUCAGAAAGCCACGGCUAACUACGUG
rnacentral:rRNA from 1 species